UACAGAGGGUGCAAGCGUUAAUCGGAAUUAUUGGGCGUAAAGGGCGCGUAGGCUGGAGAAUAAGUCAAAUGUGAAAGACCGGAGCUCAACUCCGGAACCGCAUAUGAUACUGUUCUUCUAGAGGGUAGUUGGGGAAAGCGGAAUUCCACGUGUAGCGGUGAAAUGCGUAGAUAUGUGGAAGAACACCGGUGGCGAAGGCGGCUUUCUAAAUUACACCUGACGCUGAGGCGCGAAAGCAAGGGGAGCGAACAGGAUUAGAUACCCUGGUAGUCCUUGCUGUAAACGAUGUGUACUAGAUGUAGUUGGGCUCAACCCCGAUUGUGUCGUAGCGAACGCGUUAAGUACACCGCCUGAGUAGUACGCUCGCAAGUGUGAAACUCAAAAGAAUGACGGGGGCCCGCACAAGCAGUGGAGCAUGUGGUUUAAUUCGAUGCUACACGAAGAACCUUACCCAGGCUUGACAUAUAUAGGACAGCCCCAGAAAUGGGAUCUCCCGCAAGGGCCUAUAAACAGGUGCUGCAUGGCUGUCGUCAGCUCGUGCCGUGAGGUGUUUGGUUAAGUCCCGCAACGAGCGCAACCCUUAUCAUCAGUUGCCAACACGUAAUGGUGGGGACUCUGAUGAGACUGCCCGGGUUAACCGGGAGGAAGGUGAGGAUGACGUCAAGUCAGCAUGGCCCUUAUGCCUGGGGCUACACACGUGCUACAAUGGCCGGUACAGAAGGCAGCGAAGUCGAGAGAUGGAGCGAAUCCCCAAAGCCGGCCCCAGUUCAGAUUGCAGUCUGCAACUCGACUGCAUGAAGUCGGAAUUGCUAGUAAUGGCGAGUCAGCUAUAUCGCCGUGAAUACGUUCCCGGGCCU
rnacentral:rRNA from 1 species